GUGUCAGCAGCCGCGGUAAUACGUAGGUGGCAAGCGUUGUCCGGAUUUACUGGGCGUAAAGAGCGCGCAGGCGGCCAAGUCAGUCGAAUGUGAAAGCCCCCGGCUCAACUGGGGAAGGUCAUUCGAUACUGCUCGGCUUGAAGGUAGGAGAGGGAAGCGGAAUUUCAGGUGUAGUGGUGAAAUGCGUAGAUAUCUGAAGGAACACCAGUGGCGAAGGCGGCUUUCUGGCCUAUUCUUGACGCUGAGGCGCGAAAGCUAGGGGAGCGAACGGGAUUAGAUACCAUUGGAGUAC
rnacentral:rRNA from 1 species